GAAACAUGAAAUUAAUUACGCAACAAACUUAAUUAAAAUCAUACGUCAACAGGGAUACGUUUGUACAAGCCGUGAUCAGCCAGCCUCGUGGUAGCUGCAACCUCAACGGGUAUAGUCCUGUAUGUGAAAAUAAAAGCAAAAUUAAUGAAUUUCGAUAAGCUAGAAUUGCUGAUAACUACUUGAGUUAGUGCACUAUCUAAAGAUGGAUUCAUCCAUGGAGGUGACUCCGUCUUCUCCAAUUGGUGAGUCUCGAGCUUUUUGAAAGACAAAAGCUCCAGAGUAGAAACUUUUUUGAACGUAACUAGUGAGGGCAACAAUCAGUCCCAAUAAGGUCUUUCCCAUUUCUACUAAGUCUAACAGCUGGACUAUCUCUAUGCUUAUCUAAUAAUUCACUACUACAAAAUAGGACAAAGAUGACAUGUAAUACAUGACAAGCAUACUAUUAAUUGUCAUUUAUUAGUUUAGAUGACUUUUAUUUAUUUUUGGAAGUCAUAUAUUACAAAAUUGUUUUUACUUAUGACAUAAAAAUGACUCACCACUAAAUAAGAAGUCAUCUUUAAUUAAUUAAAAGGUGACUCUUAUUUUUAAAAUGUGUCAUUUAUUUGGUAGUAUAAAAACGCCACUUUCCCUCUUUAUUUUCUUUGUCUACCGUGAAAUUUCAUUAUCUCUCUGUUUCAGCCUCCAUUCUUCUAGGACUUUCUUUCUCUGUAAAAUUCCCCUUUGCCCAUACAAAACACCUUCCUAUAUUCUAUUUCCAAGUUCCAAACUCUUAAUUUCACCCAUUAUUUAUAUAGACCCAAAAUCGUAAACUCUAACUGUUCACACAUAGUCGGAGUGAAGACAAAUUGACAAGAAAUCUUGAAGCUCUGGACCACAGAUGUUGGCAAGAAGAUUAUAAAGCCUGGGACCACAUCACUAUCAAGUAAAUUGUUGAAGCAUUCAGCUACCUUGGAUAUUGGAUUUUAAAAGUUUUGGUCCCCACAUAAAGGUACUUUCUUUCCUUUUGUUUAAUCAUGUUUGUGAAAGAAAAUGAUAGAUUGUUUGAUUGUGGGUGGCAUACAUGUGCUGUUUUUUUUUUUCUUUUCUUUGUCUAAUUCACUCUAUUUGAAUAGCAAAUGUUGACAAUAUGGAUGAACAGUAAAGUUAUUUAUGGGGAUUAAUAUUUUAAGGAAGUUACAAAUUUGGUCGAAUCAUGUCAUGCUCCUUUGAAAUUUAAUCAGUUAUCAAUCUCAGAACCUAACGACUCUAUAUGAAGUUGGGAAACCAAAAACGACACGCGCCAUGUGGGAUUUGUUGCAAAAUUAUAAAUAUUUCAAAUUCUUCAAAUAACUUAAAAUUAAUUUAUAUACACACAUACUU
rnacentral:lncRNA from 1 species